GGCUGAUGACUCACUUACCAGCUCCCACUUUGUACAGGGCCCUUCCUUUGGAGUAACCCAGCAUGCGGCAGAAGACAAUGGCAUCAGAAUUUUGCCACUCGUCAUCGCAAAUUGUCCCCCAGGUACCACUGUAGUAAACUUCAGCCCGGCCUCGGUUACUACUGCCGACAAUCCUGACGGACACUGAGUUUUCACCUGGGUGAAGAAACACACAUGGGAGAGGCAAGGAAGGCCCCUUGGGGCUUUGGGGGCAGGGCUCUUGAGAGGCCUAGAAACACCGUCCAGCUGGUGCCAGCUCAGUACCCAACUGAAGCACAGGCUCUGGAGAUGGAAAGAUACAUUGGUUCUCCACGAUUGUUUAAAGCCUCUUCAGCAGAUCAUGAAAAGAGACAGUCUGCAGAUGAAUGAGAACAGGUGUGUUGGGGGUGAAACGGCAAAGUACUGGAUGAAAGCCUGGAUUAGACAGACCCCAGAUGCACCACUGGCCUUCCCUGCCCCCCGGUAACCUGACCUGGCAUCUAAAUCCAAUCCCAUUCCCUGCUGUUGCAUUUAUAUUGGAAGAGAAUUGGGAGAUAUUUGGUAAAUAAAGUUAUCUUUAUUGCUAAAA